UCAAAAAGAAUGCAUUGGAUGGAUGAUCGGGCAUUAAGAAGGAAGGACGCUUUCAGAGGCGAAAGGCCAUAGGGAGAUACCGUCUGUGAUCCAUGGAUCUCCGAUCGGGAAACCGUAUCCAAGCUCUGUGGCUAGUCUACGCCCUUUGGACUUUUAAAACUUAGCAAACAGAAACAUCUGAAUAGCUAAAUGAAGGAAAAUCAACCGAGACCCCAUUAGUAGCGGUGAACGAGAGCGAAUUAGGGGUUUAAAGAAAAGCAAACACGAAGCUUCGUUCCUCAGCAAAGUGUUCACUUCUUUUUCGCCAAGUUUCAUUCGAUUUGUUAUGGAUUGGAUGAUGGAAAAACCAACAAGCCCCUUGAUUUUCUAUUUAGUAAAGGGCGUAGUGAACUGUAAUUGUGAAAAGGUUGGAAGAUCAGGCCAAAGAAGGUUAUAGCCCUGUAGAUUCGUUCCCAUGGUUCGAUCCUUCCCAGUAAAACACGGUGCGUUCAAAUUCUAAUCGCUUUUACGCGAGAAAGGGGGACCACCCUCUAAGCCUAAGUAUUCCCCAAUGACCGAUAGCGUACAAGUACCGUGAGGGAAAGCUGAAAAGAACCCUAUUUAGGGAGUGCAAUAGAGAACCUGAGAUUCGAUGCGAACAAUCAGUCAAAGGAGCGAAACUUAGAGCCUUUACUUGAUAUUAGUAUAGCGCACUUACUCUAACAGCGUACCUUUUGCAUGAUGGGUCAGUGAGGAAAUGGGAACAGCGGCUUAAGCCAUUAGGUGUAGGCGCUUUCCAAAGGUGGAAUCUUCUAGUUCUUCCUAUUUGACCUAAAACCGAUCGAUCUAGCCAUGAGCAGGUUGAAGAGAGCUAUAACAGGCCUUGGAGGACCGAACCCACAUAUGUGGCAAAAUAUGGGGAUGACUUGUGGCUAGGGGUGAAAGGCCAACCAAGAUCGGAUAUAGCUAGUUUUUCGCGAAAUCUAUUUCAGUAGAGCGUAUGAUGUUGAUGGCCUGAGGUAGAGCACUCAAUGGGCUAGGGUGGCCCCAUUUCACCUUAGCCAACCCAGGAAAACUCCGAAUACAAGCCUAGAUCAUUUGUACAGACAAACUUUUAGGGUAAUAAGAUCCAAAGUCGAGAGGGAAACAGCCCAGAUCGUAUGCUAAGUUCCCUAAGCAAUCACUUAGUGGAAAAGGAAGUGAUCGAGCAAUGACAACCAGGAGGUGGGCUUAGAAGCAGCCAUCCUUUGAAAAAAGUGUAAUAGCUCACUGGUCUAGCUCCAUGGCACCGAAAAUGUAUCAGGCCUCAAGUGAUUCACCGAAGCGACGAGACCUUGAAAGCUACUUUUUCAAGUGUCAAUAGCGGAACGUUCUAUCAAUCGGGGAAGGUUUUUGGUGACAACACCUGGAGAUAUCAGAAGUGAGAAUGCUGAAAUGAGUAACGAGAAAUCCUGUGAAAAAUACGAUCGCCUGCCAGUGGAAAACUUUCUACGUUCAUUCAAUCUACGAAGAGUGAAUCGAUCCCUAAGGAACCCCUGAAAGGGCUGUCGUCUAAUGGGUACACGAAAGUGACGAAGUUGCUUUGACUACAGAACCAUGGCUGUCUGUUGGAGUGAAUUGGAUGAUCAGGCCAAGGGCUGCCCCCUCUUCCCCUCACUCUCAUUUCCCUAAUAUGAACCUUGAGUCAUCAAAGCCUUUCUAACUCGGCCUGGCCUGGUUACCCAACGUGACAGGCGCUUCAAAAGGUGAAACUCUCGUCGUAUUUUGGUGACCUGGGCGGACACUUUUUGUUAACUAAAGGUGAAGACUCUGAAGUGGGCGAACACUCGGCCCCGCGGGUGAACAUGCUGGGCUCCAGCUCCGCGGACCUACUGACACCUUUCAAAGCACUUUUUAGUGUGCGCUUUAGUUUUUGAAUGUGUCGUUCAGCAUCACAAGUCUACAAGCAUUUCUCAUUUUAGUGCUCACCUUUUGAAUCUUCAAUAGAGGCCUUUAGUCUUUUGAUUAGAGUAGGGGUCGCGAGAGAGCAGAGCGUACCGCCCUGCCAUAGUCGCGACUCUUUUUAUAGUCGCGACUGUUGUCAUAGUCAACAAGGUUGAAACUUCUAGGAAAAAACUUCGAAUUGGGAGGGCGAUCCUCCCGGUGAACUGACCGUACCCCAAACCGACACAGGUGAACAAGUAGAGUAUACUAGGUCGCUUGAAAGAACCAUGUCGAAGGAACUCGGCAAAAUGACCUCGUAACCUCGGGAGAAGGGGUACUCUCCUAUCUUUUGAUUAGGAAAGAGGCACAUACCAGGGGGUAGCGACUGUUUAUUAAAAACACAGGACUCUGCUAAGUGGUAACACGAUGUGUAGAGUCUAACACCUGCCCAGUGCUGGAAAGUCAAAAGGAGAAGUGUUAUAAGCUUAGAAUGGAAACCCUAGUAAACGGAGGCAGUAACUCUAACUGUCCUAAGGUAGCGAAAUUCCUUGUCACAUAAGUAGCGACCUGCACGAAUGGUGUAAUGACUGCUCCACAGAACUUUCUCGAUUCCAACGCAACUUAUCCUUUUGAAG
rfam:Gossypium raimondii chromosome 2, whole genome shotgun sequence.